AUCAAAAUGGCGCUGACUCCAAAAUCAAGUGUAGUAUCUGUUCUUAUCAAUUUAAUAUCUGAUACGUGGGCUACUAGUACACAUGAUAUUAACUCACUUUUUUUAGGGGGAAGGCCCGUCAAGGCAGCUUGCUGUCUGGGCCUUCGAGCGUUGCCUUGGCAUUGCACUAUUGCUUCGGCCUGGCGCACCCCAU
rfam:Ipomoea nil DNA, scaffold: scaffold1900, cultivar: Tokyo-kokei standard.